CAUCCCCUCUGACACCUGGGAGCCCCAGUGCACCUGCAGAUCCCUGAGGUUGCUCACGUGGGUUUCGCCCGCCACGUCAGCACGCAUGCACACAGCAGCGUGAACCUCCCACGGGCCCCGCUACACAUGCAGUAGGAAGCGGGUAUCUUCAGGCUUCAGCCCAAAGCCUCCCGAAAUAGCGCCCCCGCGUGCACCUGCUGCGCGAGGCUCGCCUCAGCGGGGCUCAGCUCGCGCCUGCGCAGGGGAAUCCGCGAGAUCUUCAGUCCACACUGGGCCCAUCGGUGCGGGUAUUUGCAGUCGGGCUCAGGAAGGCCGGUGCCACAGCAAGGCGCUCGCCACCGAUCACGCCCUCUGGUCUUACUUGAGCCUCCGGACAUUCUUCCCCGAGAGAGGGCGGCUUCAGAGCCCGCUUCCGCGCCCUCCCCUGCAUGUGAUGCCCCCUGCCGGCUGCUCCAGUCUGCUCGGGGCGGAGGAGGAAGCUGGUUGCUAUACAGCAUCUGUGCCUUCCAUGCCGUGGGGCGCCUUUAGAACUCGACCCUAAAAACGAGCUUGGAUGGAAGCUUGAGGCUGGCAGACGCUGGGACAGAGUGGCUGGAGCACAGGUACAAAUCCUAGCCCAUUUCGCACUAGUCCAUCACGCCCCGCAACCUCUCUUGCCUUUUAAAAAAAGGAGUCAGGAGGGUCUGAGGCAGGCGUAGUAUGCCGCGAUGCGAUGCGCAGCCGCAGUGCAUCCUAUUCGUCCUGCAGGCGUAGUGGUGCAAGGUGGUAGUUGGCGCGUUUUUGCCUUCAGAAAGCUCCCAGCAUGACGGAUUGUGAGGGAGCCAAGGACCAGCUGAAUCCCUGCUGUUGUCAAGGUGCAUCCUGUGCGCAGAGCAAGGAGAAGCACGGAGAAGCGAGCUGGGCCUGGGAGAAGUAACAAGAAGCCGGUUCACCCUUCCUGUGAGCCAAAUGAGAUGCGGACAGGGAGACAAGAACACCACCAGCCCCCACCCCGUAAGCAACUGGCUGAUUUGGAGAACAGGCUGAGCUGACAGCAUCUGAGCAUUUGACAGACAGCAAGGAAAUUUAGAAGCCAUGAAGUAGUGAAGGUACGAUGGUGCAUAUCUAUAACCUGACCAGUCGUAGAGGCUACAGCAAGAGGAUAGCAUGCUCAAGGCCAACUUCAGCAAAACAGAGACUGGGUGAGAUGUUUCAAAUUUUUAAAAAUUAAAGUAAAGGGGCUGGGGAUUUAGCUCAGCGGCAUAAGUACCUGCCUUGCAAGCAGGCAGUCAUGAGUUCGACCCCUGGUUCCGAUAAAAACGAAAAAGACAAAAAAAAAUUAAAGUAAAAAGAGCCAAGGAUGCAGCUCAGUGAGGUGUUGAUUUCAGUCUGCAGUACCACACAUAGAAGAGGCCAUGAAUCUGUUACUAAAGUUUCAUUUCUAUUGCCAAAUAGCUAAGAUGUGACCUUGUGCACUGCAAACAGAAGAGAUCUACAUGCAAAUAUUAUUUAAUGUUGACAUUUACUGUAUUUAUAUAUUCUUUUUAUAACUAUACAUUAAACCAAUACAAAUCAUAUUAGUUUCAAGAGGAUAUAAUCAUUGCUUUGCUUGUGCUGCUGGGUUUGAACCCAGAGCCUCAUAAAUGUUAAGUGCCACAUCCCGUGCAAACAAUGCGGGCACUGACAGGACAGCGCAAGAUUAAGAGAAGACAAAACACACAAGAAAGCUGGGACUGGCCGACACGUGGCCCUCCAAUGGGAAGUAGUGAUGCAUACCAGCAUCCUCAUUUAUACACAGUAAAAAGGAAAGCAUGCGACAGGGUCGAAAGGGCAAGGUCCUGGUAACAACACAAAAAAGGGAACAUUUUCAGAUUAUCUGUGCUAUAAUUAACAGGAAGGGACAGCAAGGCUGGACACCUGGUGAUACGCAGCCAAGCUAGAGGUCAACUUGUUCACACGUGCGGGGAAUGCUUCUGGCAUUCCAUGUUCCUGGGACCAGCUUUGCUCUAGUCCCAGGGAGUUCACUGACCUCCACCUCAGCCACAGCUCAGCUGUUCCACACAGGUAAGUAGGUGCCCUAUCACAGAGCUACACUUCCAGUCCCCAGAAAUGGUAACGGAGUGUUCAGGACAGGAUGUGCUUCUCAGACUUCAAACAACUUCCCUAAAUACAUAGUGUUCCUCAGAAUUAAAAUCCUUUCCUUUAUUUCCUGUCACCUUCAUCUCUUAUAAUCCUUCCUUGUUUCUGUUAAACCCAGCGGAGGGUAGGGGACUUCUUUUCUGGCCGUCACUAAGUGGUAUUCAUCAACUCUGUCAUCAUUAAAAUUACACUUGCCUGAAGCUAGAGGACACCGCUUGCAAGAUCAAGUCCAGGUCUGAAGACUCCCUGAAGGAGCAGAAGAGGAAAACCUGCUCCAGCACUUUUACACCAAGACAUGGAAUGCUGCUCUUAACAACGACAUUCAAUAAACUCACAAUAAGUAGACUGUUAACAAAAAUCAAUGCAACUUUGAAAGCUGGUUUGGAUUCUUGGAUAAUCAACUGAUGUCAUCAGCUUUCAAAGAAGAGUAGUGUCAGGGCUGAAAAUGCUUGCUGACUGACAUUUCUGCCUCAAGUUCCAUCCUGAGUCAACAAGCCCAAAUGAGGACUUGCACCUUCUCGCCACACCUGUGUGGUUCCCAUCAAUCCUGGUUCCCUUCUGUCCCCUCGACUGACCAGCUGCUGACCUCAGCUCAGCUCCUUGGUGCAGUUCACUUCUGGCCUUAUCACUCUGGCCUCUUGGCUCCACUUUGUAGCCUCCCAGAGAUCCUCUUCCCCAACACAACCUCAAAUCCACCCUGUUCCUGAAGCUCAGAGGGAUCUUCCACCACCUGGCUCGAGCCACACCUAUGCCUCUAACCAGGUAGGUAACUUCUCAGCACUCUAGGCCUGCUUCCUCAUCUAUAAAAGGGUAAGAAUAGGCUAAGGAUGUACCUCAGGGCCAGAGUCCUUGCUUAGCACGGACAGAGCCCAGGGUUGAGCCUCAGUACUGGGUAUGUGUGAGUGUGUGUGUGUGUGUGUCCAUGAUCUCUAAAGUCCCAUUUUACUCUAGGAACCAAACUUCUAUGAGAGCAAAAGCAAAAGAAAUUGUUAUGCCUUCUUUUCAACAACAGAUGUCACUGCAGCACUGACCAGUGUCUUGGAUCCUGUCAGCUUUCCUCAAGUCUGUGAUACUCAGAACAGAAAGUACAAACCCCUUAGCUUCCAGUAAUCUGGAACAAAUAGAGUGGUAAACCCUGCUCUAUAUACGAUUUUAAACUGUCCCUUCACUUAGACGCAUCCAGUCAUUCAACAAACACUGAGCACCUAUUUGUAAUAAAUACAGAAGGUCUCUUUGCCUCCUCAGCUCCUCCCUUCUGCGUUUCCUGGCUACUGUGUUUCCUCCGCCAUACCCUUCUGCCAUGAUUUUGUGCUUUGGAGCCAGCCAACCGUGGACUGGAUGCAGUGGAAACUGUGAGCCAAAUAAACCUCUCCUCCUUUAAA